rnacentral:rRNA from 1 species
GACGAACCGUGCGAACGUUGUUCGGAAUCACUGGGCUUAAAGGGCGCGUAGGCGGGUGGUUAAGUCAGGGGUGAAAUCCUCCAGCUUAACUGGAGAACAGCUUUUGAUACUGGCCAUCUUGAGGGAGGUAGGGGCAUGUGGAACUUCCGGUGGAGCGGUGAAAUGCGUAGAUAUCGGAAGGAACGCCGGUGGCGAAAGCGACGUGCUGGACCUUUUCUGACGCUGAGGCGCGAAAGCCAGGGGAGCAAACGGG